AGAGUUUGAUCAUGGCUCAGGAUGAACGCUGGCGGCGUGCUUAACACAUGCAAGUCGAACGGAGCAUUCCGGGUGGGGCCUUCGGGCGGAUCCUGGGGUGGCUUAGUGGCGGACGGGUGAGUAACGCGUGGGCAACCUGCCCCGUACCGGGGGAUAACAGCCGGAAACGGCUGCUAAUACCGCAUAAGCCCUUGGGGGCGCAUGCCCCUGGGGGGAAAACUCCGGUGGUACGGGAUGGGCCCGCGUUGGAUUAGGCAGUUGGCGGGGCAGCGGCCCACCAAACCGACGAUCCAUAGCCGGCCUGAGAGGGCGACCGGCCACAUUGGGACUGAGACACGGCCCAAACUCCUACGGGAGGCAGCAGUGGGGAAUAUUGCACAAUGGGGGGAACCCUGAUGCAGCGACGCCGCGUGAGCGAAGAAGUAUUUCGGUAUGUAAAGCUCUGUCAGCAGGGAAGAAAAUGACGGUACCUGAGGAAGAAGCCCCGGCUAAAUACGUGCCAGCAGCCGCGGUAAUACGUAUGGGGCAAGCGUUAUCCGGAUUUACUGGGUGUAAAGGGAGCGUAGACGGGGGUGCAAGUCUGAUGUGAAAGGCCGCGGCUCAACUGCGGGACUGCAUUGGAAACUGCAUGCCUUGAGUGCCGGAGAGGUAAGCGGAAUUCCUGGUGUAGCGGUGAAAUGCGUAGAUAUCAGGAGGAACACCAGUGGCGAAGGCGGCUUACUGGACGGUAACUGACGUUGAGGCUCGAAAGCGUGGGGAGCAAACAGGAUUAGAUACACUGGUAGUCCACGCGGUAAACG
rnacentral:rRNA from 1 species